GACGGAGGAUGCAAGUGUUAUCCGGAAUCACUGGGCGUAAAGCGUCUGUAGGUGGUUUCAAAAGUCCACUGUUAAAGAUUGAAGCUUAACUUCAAAAAUGCCGUGGAAACUUUGAAACUUGAGUAUGAUAGGGGUAGAGGGAAUUUCCAGUGGAGCGGUGAAAUGUGUAGAUAUUGGAAAGAACACCAACGGCGAAAGCAACUCUGCUGGGCCGACACUGACACUGAGAGACGAAAGCUAGGGGAGCGAAUGGG
rnacentral:rRNA from 1 species